CAUGCGAGGAGGUGCAGCAGGAGCGCGGCCUUUGUUAUGCCUCGGCGUGGCUGCGUCACCGUGGGGCUGGUUGGGUGGCUCGAGGCGAUGCUGCUCCUGCAUUACCAUGAUGAGACGCUGCACACGGCGACUCGCUGACACUCCCAAGUUGUAUUUGAGGCGGACGAACUUCUCUAAAUGGGACACCUGGACCGCAGCAGGACACCUCAGGUACCGCUUGUGGGCCAGCUGGGGAAGACAGAGAGAGAAAAAAAAAGUUAUGAACCAUCCGAUAGAACUAGGGAAGAUGGCAAGACAAAAAAAAAAAAAAAAGUCAGUUAUGAACCAACCGACAAAGUUAGGAAGAUAAAAUUGUUACUAAGUUACGAACCAUCAGACAAAACUUUAUAGCAAGACAAAAA